rnacentral:rRNA from 1 species
GACGAACCGUCCUAACGUUGUUCGGAAUCACUGGGCUUAAAGGGCGCGUAGGCGGUCGGCAAAGUCAGGGGUGAAAUCUUUCGGCUUAACCGGAAAAGUGCCUUUGAAACUAGUCGACUCGAGCGAGAUAGGGGCAUGUGGAACUUCCGGUGGAGCGGUGAAAUGCGUUGAUAUCAGGAGGAACACCGGUGGCGAAGGCGGGUCUCUGGGCCGAUACUGACGCUGAGGAGCGAAAGCGUGGGGAGCGAUCCGG